GAGCACACUAACUGGUGCUAAGGACCCUGAUCCAUCCUCACCUGGAUCCUCCCCUUCCCCCAGCUGUGGACUAGGAACUCUAUUUAAGGUCACCUCAGGUUUUUUACCUUUUUCUGAGCUAUUUUGUAGGAUUGCUGGUCUCUGGCUCAGUCAGAAGCAUACGCUGCUUGGCCAUGAAGCUGCUUUGUUGCCCUGGACUCAUAUGGUAACCUCACCUCUUGCUUGAACCUGGCUGUGGUCUCUGUACCUGCCCUGCUCACCAUGCUCAGGUUCAGGCUCGUGCAUCUUCUGAGAGUCACUGUGAGGUCCUGCUGCCUGGCCCCGCGCUGACCCAGACUUGCCUCUCCUGAUGCCCCUUCUUGGGAAGCACACCAGUGGAAAUACGACUUGCCAUGGCUCUUGUGGGACUGUCUUCAUGGAACAACAGCUUGGGUGGCUCAAAGACUAACUGGUGACAGGGUCUGUGAAUGGAGGAUGAGCUGCUGAGGAAUUUCUCAAGCUAAAACUAUACAAAGAAAGAUUGGGUCUGUUCUUCCUUCUUUGUGGAUCCUUGCUCUGCUGAGAACAGAAGAGGCACCUGGUCUGACUCCCUGCAUUAAUGAGCCUUGUUCCACUCAAUCUGCACUGGAACUGUUGCAGCAUCUCUUUUAGGCUGUUACUGUUGACCUUCUGGCUCUGGAUGCUGAAGGGUUUCUUGGUAAGCCAAGAUUUUCUUAAAGUUUCUGACUUCAUCUUGCUUUGUGCAGGCCAGAUGCUGGUGGUAGGUGUGUGGCGUGGUGGUCUGAGGGCAGGCUUUUCUUCCUGUGCUCUGUGGAAAGCUGUGCAAGUAGGAGUAACGUCACUGGGUGAGUGUGGCUGGAGAGCUGGGCACAGUGACACAGUAGUUCCCCAAACCAAUAAUAGUUAGGCAGCUGCUGCAAAGGUCUAACAAAUCAGAUGAGUCUUCUCGCCUUCCUUUCCCCCUCAGGCCUCUUUACAGUAGUUCACAAUUCAUAGUGAAGAUUAGAGUCUUUCACCUCAUGCCUCGUGAGGACAUUGUUGCUGGGAUGGAUGGUACCCUGUGCACUUCAGCAUGUGGCUGCUUUACUGUACAAACGACCCUGAGAACAGAGAGGUAUUUCAGAAAAUGUAAAGUUUUCCCAGAGAAAUGGAAACUAGCUAACAAGAUGAAACAUCUUUCCUACCAGCACAGGGAGCAAAACAGUAAAAAAGAAGGUUGGCAGGGAGAAACAGGAAAGAAAACUAAAAAGCAAUUAAAACACAGCCCCUUCCUAAUGCUACCAACUACUGUAAUAUUUGUGUGACGCAGUUAAUGGGGCUGAAGUCUGGGUCCUCACUAUGCUGGGGGCAGGCAGAGGGUGAUGAGGGCUGGCAGGGAAGGUACAUGGCAGGCCCCAGCAUCCCCCAAGAACAGCACUGCUGGUGACAGCUGUGCAACCAUGAAAGCAGCUGGGAGCAGAAGUGCCCCUGAUUUCUAUUCCCCCCACCACUGUGUGGAAUAAUCCUGGUUGUGGGGCAAGCCUUGAAUCAGAGGUGGCAGCUUGUAUCCUGUUCCCAGUCCUUGCAGCAUCACCCAAGUCCCAGUUCUUGACUUUCACCUCUCUUGGGUGCAAACAUGGCAAGAGGAAUCAAAUUUACAGCCCACAGUCUUGCUGCCAAGGACCUUCCGCCUUGGGUUUUGUUCCUUCCAAUUUGUUCUCCUUGCAGCCUUAGCCACUUGCUGCUGCCAGUAAAAUGCAUGCUGUCAGUGUCUGACUGUGCCAGACACGGCAUUUGAUUUCCAAAAUGAUUUUAAAAGCUUAAUUUGUUUUAUUCUCCAUUAAAGAAAACUUUCCUCUGUAAGGAAGACAUAAAUUAGGAUUUGGGGAUGAAGAGGUCAUACACAGGAAGGCAGAAGCUCUGACUUUCCCAGUAACCUCAGACAGGAACUAGCUCUAUCCUCUGCUGUUGUGCUGUUACAGGGCCCGUCUCACCCGGGUCACCUCUUGCCUAGGCUUGUGUUCAGUAUGUUUUCAGUAUGUUUUCUCUUGAGCUAGCUUUCCUUGAUCAUGGGUAUUCCCACCUCUGAGCCUUGGGUUUGAGAUGAGCCUGGAGGACUCAGCUGCACUGCUUUAAGGAGAGCUUUCUUGCUGUGCUCAGCUCUCUGUGCCAGGUCCUUUGAGUGGGUUUACAGAUGGGAUGGACAGCGUUGCCUUUAUCUGCCAUCCAAAAAGCUUUCCUGGGCUAUGAGAUAGGCUCCAGAAGCCUAAAUGUGCGAGUCACCCUGACAGAGCUGAAGAGCUAGUGCAGUGCGCUGGCUGGGAAAUGUCGCAUGAAGCUGGAGACACAAGCACUCGAGGAACAUAAGGACAGAUGCUUCCUGGACUAUUUUUCCAAGCAGUUUGCAAGCAUGUGACUGUUCCUCAUCCUGUGAGAAGGAGAGGUGCUGGCAUAAGCAAAGCUGACUUGCAGAUGAAAACUAAUGAGUGAAAUUACCGCAUUAACGAAGAAAAUCUUACUAGCAAGAUGUGAAAAGUAUUUUAAUCAUAAUGAAUAGGACAAAAUUAAAACUUAACUCUUCUCUAGUA